UGGGGAAUAUUGGACAAUGGGCGCAAGCCUGAUCCAGCCAUGCCGCGUGGGUGAUGAAGGCCUUAGGGUUGUAAAGCCCUUUCGGCGGGGAAGAUAAUGACGGUACCCGCAGAAGAAGCCCCGGCUAACUUCGUGCCAGCAGCCGGGGUAAUACGAAGGGGGCUAGCGUUGCUCGGAAUUACUGGGCGUAAAGCGCACGUAGGCGGCUUGUUAAGUCGGGGGUGAAAUCCCGGAGCUCAACUCCGGAACUGCCUUCGAUACUGGCAAGCUCGAGUCCGGGAGAGGUGGGUGUAACUGCGAGUGUAGAGGUGAAAUUCGUAGAUAGUCGCAAGAACACCAGUGGCGAAGGCGGCUCACUGGCCCGGUACUGACGCUGAGGUGCGAAAGCGUGGGGAG
rnacentral:rRNA from 1 species